UAUUUCGCCCACACGCACGCGUGUGAGAGAGAUCGUGAGGAAAAAAAGGUGUGUGGGCCGUUCCUCUUAUACACCACACAAAAUAUGUGGACAGACCCCCUAACGCCCACAUGUGUGGCACUUAUCAGCGUCCUAGAUUUAUGCAUCUCUACUCUUAAUGUCUGAGUUGGUGAAUAGCUUUCACAGUUUUUUUUUGUCUGGUUAAUUUUCGUCCAGUUUAUUUUCGUCUCACCUCCCACCACCCCUCCCACGUUAAUUUCUUCUUCUUCGCAUUUAAAACAGAAUCGCGUCUGAUACUCCUUUCAUUUAUUUGUGCUUGCUUUGGGCGGUGUCGAUAUAGGUUACCCAUGAUCGGUGUUGAUUUUAUCUGUCAAUAAGAUAAAUUUUUGGUAGUACUAUUUGGUAACUUUUUUAUGGAAAGAAAUAAAUAAUAAGUCUGCCUCGUACACAGAAAAAAUCGGAAAGAACGAAAAAAGGAAACAACCCACGUACGCACAUCGCACCUCCCCCACUCCCCUUCCCCCAAGUCCCUCGCUCUCGAUCUCGUGCCUCUGUAGAGAGGAAUCGCCGUCGCUGACCUCCACCCGCCUACGGUGACCUCGAGCGGUAGAAAACUGCAGCCAAACUAGAUUGGAGGGGUGCAUUCGUGCCCUUGCAUCUCCUGUCUUCUUCAUCGAGUCCACGAGGAGCUUGCCGCAGGGAGGGCGACGAGCAGGAGCAGCGCAUCGACGGCAACGACGAACGACGGCCUAGGUAACGCUAUCUUCCCACCCUCGCUUCACUCCGUCUUCUUCCUAUAGCCUGUACUCUCCCAUGGCAGGGGCCGGCGAGUGUCAAUGGAUGGAGGGAGAUCGACUGGUGGCGCAACGGACGGUGGCACAACGGCUAGUGGGCACGGCUGGGCGGUGGGAGAUCUGCCAAGCGACGGUGGGAUGGGCUUAUUGUUUGAUGUUUUUUUUUGGACCUAGAUGAAUACUAAUAACACUGAAUUUGUGAAUGUAGACUGUAUGUUUUAUCAUUCUCUUAAUCUCAUGUAUAUGUUGUGUUGAUCCUUAAAUUGGCAAAACACUGCUUGAUAAAAGUCACUCGAGUCUGCUUUUUAUUGUGGAAACUCGUCCUAUGUGUGAAUUUAUUUAUAGAACCUUCCAAUUUUGAUUAUGCAAAUUGCACGAAACCUGAGUUGUCCUAUUUUGUAGAUUAAGGAAUGAUGGACUUGUAAUCUUGCAUUGUCGUGGAAGACACAGUGAGUUGCUAUAUAUCUCUAUACAUCUCAUAAAGUAAUUUGCUUGCAUUAUAUUCAACUUCUCUCCCUACACACCCACAACGAUUUACCGUAUAUUUCCUUAGCCAUGAGUAUGCAUGGUUGUACCUUGCCCAGAAUCAUAUACGGAGUAUUUCCUUAGCCAUGAGUAUGUCAUCGUGAUCCUCUGUACCGGCUCUAAGAUGUACUACAAUAUGGUUACAUCUACUCCAUUCACCACAGUGAUAAUCAAUUUAAUUUUUUUCCUUUCUAUUGCUUGAUUGUAUUGCCUUUAAGUCAUAUAUUAGAGAUUUUAGUAGAGUCAGGUCUCUACCAGCGAAAAUCAUGGCUAAGGAAACAGGACUGGCAGAUUUCCCCCUCCACCGUCGGGGAGAAGACGUCAUGACACAGUUACGAUGAGGUGUGGCGCAAGCGAGGCUGUAGGAUCCCUCCUAUGAAGCCAGGCAACGACAUCAUCGGAUCCUCACUGGUACGCAGAGGUGUCGCUGGGGUCCGACGAGGUGGCAGGGACGUGUGAUUAAUUAGGUACAUGGCUGAAGGAUCUUUUAGUAUGCAAGUAUGGAGCAACUUCUAAAAUGGUUUGCAUGAUGUCACUUGACAUCCUUGGCAUCUAUCUCUUUUGCACUACUACCUGCAGCUGGAGGCAUGAGGCCUAGGAAGGUGAUUCUGUACUGUUUUUUCGAAACCUCGUUUGUACUCGUGAUUUCUUGUCUCAUUAAUCUCACAGCUACACAGGACAACAUCUGAAUAUAUUAUAGUUAAUGCCUUUCUUCUUGGAGCUUUUGUGUUCUGGACUAGCAUGAUUUGUUGGCAUGUGGGUCGCGGUAUAUGCAAAUUUUAGUUUCAAGUGCUGCUUGGGGGCCUGCAAUGGAAGCGUUGCAGGUUUUAUUUGUCAUCUAUGGUGUUCGUCUUUCAUGUGUUUUCCCCUUCUACGAUUUGAAAUGGUGAAUAAUUUGCCAAAACAGAUUGGUGUUCGUGCAGGUGAUUUCUCAGCCAUGGCAUUGACUGUAUUUGGUGUGGCACUACUCUAUGCAACAUUUUAUGUUUGGCUUGGAGUAUAGAUUCACCUGAUUCAAUGAAGGUUGCGAAUACUGAAACCCAUCAUGUGUAUAUUUCAUAUGUUGUGGCAUGAGAGAGGGAUCAUGGGUGAGGAAGCAGAGCAGCGGCAGGCAAGGAGUGAGGGGAGCAGUCGGAGGCUCAUAGGGAGGCGGAUAAUGGGUGAGGAAGCAGAGCAGCAGCAGGCGUGCAGGGAGGGGAGCAGCCGGAGGCUCAUAGGGAGGUGGAGUAGCGGCACGUGGCGAGCAGGUUGGGGAGCUCGGCGACAACAGCACGACGUGAUGUUGUGCUGGCGUGUGCCGGUGCUGAUUAUAUGUGAAUUGCAACAUGGAGUUCAGGAAGAUAAGAGUCGAAGAGUAUAAGAGAAGAUGGAAGGUAGUUAAGGAUGAGUCUGUAGGCAAUGAUUUAUAUGUGAGUGGAAUAGUUUUUCUUUCAUAAAAAAUAGACUUCCAGCUAGUUUCAGAUACAGACCAUUUGACAAUUAUAUUUUAGUGAAUUGUUUGACAUUUACGGAAAUAUGUUUAUUUGAAAGAAGU